UGCGGGGGCCGCGGGGCCGCGGGAGCUGUGCUGUAGAGCUCUCCCUUGGAUACUGGAGGGCUGACCUGGAGCCAGGGAGGGAGGAGGCUCGGGCAGGGCCAGUGGGGACCGAGAGCAGAGGGCGCGUCCGAGAGCUGUGUAAAGAACUGACAGGACGCGGCGACGGAGGGACUGUGGGACCAAAGGGUCACCUAACACAUCCGUGUUGAGCACCCAGUACGUGCUCGGCCCUGUCAGGCUCUGCCCUGGCGGACCUUACAUUCUAACUGGAGGCGGUAAACAAGGUAAGUAAAGCAGACGGCGUGCUAAGGAGAAAAACGAGGCAGGGCAGUGAGUGGCCCGUGUAGGAGGAGGGGUGCAGCUUCUCCUGUCACGGGGACUAUACUGUAAAUGCUAAAAUGAUGCGAAUGUAAGUUCAGGGCGUUUGAUAAUUAUGAAAUUAAAUAAUCAUGAGUCAAAAGUAUUUAAACUAAUUACCACAUUCAGUUCAUUCUGGUGGUUUUUGAAUUCUGAUAAGCUAAGCUCACGGCUAAUAAUGAGAUUAGAAUGAAUGCCAUGGUAAGUAUAGUUUGGGGAUUAUUUGUUUGAGAUGCUCAGGGCAGGGGUAGGAGGAGGGCAGUUUCUAGGUCAUAUAAUAGAAAUGCAACAGCUACUAGAAACUUUAUAGAGAAGGCGAGGCAUGCUGACCCAAUGGGUUCAAAUUCACCUUUGUAUCGGCUUGAUUUUUCUGUAUAAAUAUUUAGUCAUGGCAGUCAGGAUACAUAAAUAAACAUAAUAAAUACAAAUAAGGAUGUUGAUAAUAUGUUAGUAAACAAUGUCAAGAUGAGAUUUCUUUUUUCUUGGGUUAUACCAAAACUUAUGGAUUGAAAGUCACUUGUACUGUUUACUACUAAAGAAUAUGACCCUCAUCAAUAGACAGACCAUGUGUACGGCCUGCUGAUCGUUCCAGGAACGAAGGAAGCUGACAUAUACUGUCAUCAGACUAAACGUUUGCGCUCGGACGGGCAGGGCACUCUCUCCAGCCACCUCGGAGGAGAAUGGACUCUGACCCAAGGGCUGCCGGUGAGGAUGGACAGCUGAGGCUGGGGGUCCCCUGAACAGCCCCUCCCCACCAGGAGCCCUCAAACACAGCCAGAAAGAGGGGAAGUUGUCAGUUCAACUCACCUUCUCCCAGGGCACUCUGACAAAGCCACUUCCACAGUUCUAAGUGCCAUGGCUGCCACCACUCCUGCAUCCACAUUCUUCUUCUGGAUCCUAUAAUACCUUGCAUCCCUAAUACUCAAGCUAGGAGCCCUUGGACCCUCCAAGGUGACUGUGCACUUCCCUGUUCUGGGACCUAACCACCUUAAGGUUUCAUCCUCAGAGUCCGACCUUUUGUUCAAGGGUGGGGGACACCUCCUCCACUGUAACUGCUGAGUGCUUACACCACGCUCCUUCAGAAGCGAACAGGAAGGGUUCUAAUGCGCAUCCAGAGUCAGCAAGAGAUGCUGCCUGCUACCAGUUCAUCACUCUGCACAGCCAGACAGCUCCGACAGGGUCAUCUCUUCACCGAUGACCCCAGAGUCACUCUUGCCCUCUGCCAAGCUGCCUGCGGCUUUGGAGAAGCUGGGGAGAGCCUUGUUUACUGAAGGGGCACCUGCAGCCCUUUGCCAUCACCUCUGAGACUCAGAGCACAGGGAGUGACUGCGGCUACUGGGGUGCCUGUUUAUUCUUCGGUCUGUGAAUUAUAGGCGUCUACCGUACUGGGGUUCCUGUGUCGGUAGAAGGGGCCCGGUUCAGCCCUUUCCCGAAUGGUCCUCUGCUCUUCCAUUCCUGUGGAACCGUAGCUGAUCAGAGUCUCUUUUGAGGCUGUGGUGAUGACAAUCCGGGGGAUGGCAAAUUUCUUCUCUUCUGAAUUUACAUCAGGUUUCUCUAGAGGGAAGGAAACAUCCGGGUAUUUCAUAAGUCUGUGGAAAAACUCUUCUGUAAAACAGACAAUGUCUGUGUUAGGGCCAGAGCAAAGGAAUUAGGUUCGUGGCUCAGGAAAAGAAAUGGGUGAGGUUGAAAGCAGUCAAAACCGUGAGUGAACAUUCCAAAGCUUACACCAACCGGCAAUGCAGCCACGCAGUGGUGACCCUAGAGGCCUCCUUCCAGGAGGGGAACGGACAGACACCCGCACCAUCCCCGUGGAAAGCCUGAGCUGCCGGGCAGCCAGGGUGACAGACGCAGGAGCGAGACCUGGGAAAGGCAGGGUCUGCCCCAGAGGUGAAGGUUCAGACACACAGUGUGCAAAGGAUUCUCUGCACAGAGCUUUGUCAGGCAGGGCACUCUAGAAACGGACGCCACAGCGUUUUCUCAAACUUGUCAGGAUUACCAGGAACACACGGGACGUGUGAAACGUUACAAAGUACAAAAGCAGAAGCCCCUUCACUGCCUCCACCGCCUCACUUCCCGGCCUGCUCCCUCCGUUCAGGCCUGUGUGUCCCCGUGUGCACACACGUGUACUGCACAGAAUUAGAACACUGAACACCCCAGGAACUCAGCUAUACGGGGGAUGAACAGGUGCCCGUCCCGUGCUAGGCGUUGCUCUGAGCCCUAGAAUAACCACCGCACGUUUCUGAGGUUACACUGACAGCGGAAGUGCUGACUCCGCCCCCGCUGGUCACCGGUCACCGCCAGCUUCCCUGAGCUUUGAGCACCCUCGCCAUGGGGAGGCUGCGCAUCUCAUCUCGUUGUCACUCGUUCAUGGGCCCGUGGCACGUAUCCUCCUGUGAAUGCAUGUCAUUCUGCAUUUUCUACAUUGACUGUUUUUUUUUUUCUUUGGUGAGCUUUUUUAUAUUUGGGAAGUUCACCCUUAGUGACUUAUACUGCAAGUAGCCCCUGGCUUUUAGCUUCCUUUGUCGCUUUCUGCAACAGAUUCAUCCAUCUGUUCCUUAAUGGCUUUUAGAGUUUGUCAGACUGGAAAAGGCAUCCCCUGUUCCAAACUUAUAAAAACAUUUACUCAUUUCCA